rnacentral:rRNA from 1 species
GACGAACGCUGGCGGCGUGCUUAACACAUGCAAGUCGAACGGAGCACCCUUGAUUGAGGUUUCGGCCAAAUGAUAGGAAUGCUUAGUGGCGGACUGGUGAGUAACGCGUGAGGAACCUGCCUUUCAGAGGGGGACAACAGUUGGAAACGACUGCUAAUACCGCAUGACGCAUUUUGAUCGCAUGGUCGAAAUGCCAAAGAUUUAUCGCUGAAAGAUGGCCUCGCGUCUGAUUAGCUAGUUGGUGAGGUAACGGCCCACCAAGGCGACGAUCGGUAGCCGGACUGAGAGGUUGACCGGCCACAUUGGGACUGAGAUACGGCCCAGACUCCUACGGGAGGCAGCAGUGGGGAAUAUUGGGCAAUGGGCGCAAGCCUGACCCAGCAACGCCGCGUGAAGGAAGAAGGCUUUCGGGUUGUAAACUUCUUUUAAGUGGGAAGAGUAGAAGACGGUACCACUUGAAUAAGCCACGGCUAACUACGUGCCAGCCGCCGCCGUAA